UCUUUAUAAUUAUUUAAUUAUAAUUAAUUAGGAUUUAUUUUGUUUAUAUUUAAUAAAUUAUUUUGUUGGGGUAAUAUAAAGAUUAAUAUAAUUCUUUUUUUUUAUUACAUUGAUUUAUGGUUUUUUGAUCCAAUUUUAUUGAUUAUAAGAUUAAGU
rnacentral:rRNA from 1 species